rnacentral:rRNA from 1 species
CGCGUAGGCGGUAGGAUAAGUCGGAUGUGAAAUUCCGGGGCUCAACCCCGGAGCUGCAUUUGAAACUGUCUUGCUAGAGUUCAGUUAGGGUAAACGGAAUUCCACGUGUAGCGGUGAAAUGCGUAGAUAUGUGGAAGAACACCGGUGGUGAAGACGGUUUACUGGGCUGAUACUGACGCUGAGGCGCGAAAGCAUGGGGAAGCAAACAG